GACGAACGCUGGCGGCGUGCUUAACACAUGCAAGUCGAACGGAAAGGCCCUGCUUUUGUGGGGUGCUCGAGUGGCGAACGGGUGAGUAACACGUGAGUAACCUGCCCUUGACUUUGGGAUAACUUCAGGAAACUGGGGCUAAUACCGGAUAGGAGCUCCUGCUGCAUGGUGGGGGUUGGAAAGUUUCGGCGGUUGGGGAUGGACUCGCGGCUUAUCAGCUUGUUGGUGGGGUAGUGGCUUACCAAGGCUUUGACGGGUAGCCGGCCUGAGAGGGUGACCGGCCACAUUGGGACUGAGAUACGGCCCAGACUCCUACGGGAGGCAGCAGUGGGGAAUAUUGCACAAUGGGCGGAAGCCUGAUGCAGCAACGCCGCGUGCGGGAUGACGGCCUUCGGGUUGUAAACCGCUUUCGCCUGUGACGAAGCGUGAGUGACGGUAAUGGGUAAAGAAGCACCGGCUAACUACGUGCCAGCAGCCGCGGUGAUACGUAGGGUGCGAGCGUUGUCCGGAUUUAUUGGGCGUAAAGGGCUCGUAGGUGGUUGAUCGCGUCGGAAGUGUAAUCUUGGGGCUUAACCCUGAGCGUGCUUUCGAUACGGGUUGACUUGAGGAAGGUAGGGGAGAAUGGAAUUCCUGGUGGAGCGGUGGAAUGCGCAGAUAUCAGGAGGAACACCAGUGGCGAAGGCGGUUCUCUGGGCCUUUCCUGACGCUGAGGAGCGAAAGCGUGGGGAGCGAACAGGCUUAGAUACCCUGGUAGUCCACGCUGUAAACGGUGGGUACUAGGCGUGGGGUCCAUUCCACGGGUUCCGUGCCGUAGCUAACGCUUUAAGUACCCCGCCUGGGGAGUACGGCCGCAAGGCUAAAACUCAAAGGAAUUGACGGGGCCCCGCACAAGCGGCGGAGCAUGCGGAUUAAUUCGAUGCAACGCGUAGAACCUUACCUGGGUUUGACAUGGAUCGGGAGUGCUCAGAGAUGGGUGUGCCUCUUUUGGGGUCGGUUCACAGGUGGUGCAUGGCUGUCGUCAGCUCGUGUCGUGAGAUGUUGGGUUAAGUCCCGCAACGAGCGCAACCCUUGUUCACUGUUGCCAGCACGUUAUGGUGGGGACUCAGUGGGGACCGCCGGGGUCAACUCGGAGGAAGGUGGGGAUGACGUCAAGUCAUCAUGCCCCUUAUGUCCAGGGCUUCACGCAUGCUACAAUGGCUGGUACAGAGAGUGGCGAGCCUGUGAGGGUGAGCGAAUCUCGGAAAGCCGGUCUCAGUUCGGAUUGGGGUCUGCAACUCGACCUCAUGAAGUCGGAGUCGCUAGUAAUCGCAGAUCAGCAACGCUGCGGUGAAUACGUUCCCGGGGCU
rnacentral:rRNA from 1 species